rnacentral:lncRNA from 1 species
GGUAGAGGAGCAGUUUGUCUUCUAGUUUGAUGAACCCCAACUUGGCCUCCACCCCGGGUAGUACCGCGUCCAGCAGAUGAGGGUCUACGUGUCCUAGCCAUCUGCGAAAGAAAUAUUCCAAAGUCAAUCUCAAGUUAUCUCAACGCACGAUCAAAGAAUUAAAGAAGGGAAAACAUUCCUAGAUAUUCAGUAGCCUUAAGCUCAUAUGUAUGGCGCCUACAUACACAUGAACAAGACUCUACUAAACAUUGCUCCAUGUCUCGGGACUUUAAGCCUAAGCUCUGAUACCAACUUUGUCACGACCCAAUUUAGGAUUGUGACCGGCGCUUAGGAGCAAGUACUUCCAAGUAAGCCUCAUCGUAAUUUUACAGAAAAUCGGGUAGAGUUUUCCCUGUUUUUGGACCAUCCCAAAAAUUUUCCUGUCUCAAAUCAACAACCCUAACAUUCUAAUAUCAUACCAACGUAUUGACAACAUGUCAAUUAACCAACACAAGUCUCUACCAUGACUAAACCACCAACUAACAACCAGAAAUACUAAUUAUCUCCAACACUAAUAUUAAAGAACGAUACUCAAUAUAAGACUAAUAGCAAAAUAAUACUCAUGAAACUAAAUGAAUGACUAUGGAGUGACUCUAAGAAUUUAAAGAAAUGACCAUAACAAUUGAUAAAAAUCUCCGCUCACAUGAACAAGUGCGAGGCUCACCAAGAAUUCUCAACCUAUACGCUCUAAUUAAUGAAAUCCUCACAUGCGUCAACUGCUGUCUCUGUAGAAACAAUUAGCGGGGAAUGAGUCGCUUGCUCAGUGAGUAAAAACAAUUAACCACAACCGUUUUUAUUUGGGGACAAGUCAGAAAACAUGCUUGCAUAAUAAUCACAAAAUAAAAUGCAUUUUUUAACACGGUAAUAAUAAUCAGUCUCGUCAUGUGUUUCCUGUAACAAAAUCAAUUUAACAAUUCAGUAAUAAACUCGGUAAAUAUGUGUCAUAGCAAAUCUUUAUAUUUUGGGAUAUUUCAGAGAAGGACCAUGUAAUCUGUAUCAUUGUGUGGAUCCCUUCAUAAAAGGAGUCAAAUAUAACUGUAGGUCCCUACUCGAGGGAAAAACUGUAAUUGUAUGCUAAUUUUACCUACCACUAGCAAGGGCUAUAGCUGUAUUCGGUAAUCGGUAAAUACAUGGUGCACCAGGUCUAACGAACCCGCCGUUAGCUACAUGAUCCUUCAAAGUUUCCCCCCAUUUAUAUUCUUUCUUGUAAACCAUAAAUACUCGUAGAGAAGCAUUUUCAAAAUAAAGGGCAUAUCGUUUCUUAUGAAAUCUUGUAAUUUUAUUUCGGUAACAGUAAUCAUGUUUCAAGUAACGGUAAAACAUAUCUAGUACAGUGAAAAUAUUUUGAUUGAUCGGUAAACAUCUCAAGUAGACUGUUCGGUAUCAUAUCAAGUAAAGGACUUGUCCCACAUGCAAAUUUCAAAGCAUCAGUAAUACAUUUAUUUUCAAAAAUCAUAUAUAAACCAUGCAAGUUAUGAAACACAAAUAGUGGCAAGAUUACUACUCAUUAUACUCGUGCCGAAAUACCAAGCGCGCAACUUCGAGCUGUCCGUACAACUUCUUUCAAUCAAUCUAUAUUAUCACAAACACUAGUUAAGUAUCAACUUUAUGAACUACCAACAUAAUCGAGUAUUAUUCUGUCAAAUUCCUCCUUAUUCUACUUGAAAUAACCUCAAUUAGGCUGCCAUGUUCUUAUUAAACUAAUUCUCUGUAAUUCCUUCAUAUCACCAAUUCAACGACUAAUCAAUUUUAUCAUAACUAGGCCCUAAAAUUAAAGACCAAACUAAAUCCCAAUAUUAUAAUGGAAGAGUUAAACAAUAUAAAACUAAAAUUCUUCCAGAAUACUCACGUUGCUAGUUUGUUAAUUCGUUGUUACAACUCUUUGAUGCCAAAUAGAGUACUUUUUAUUCAAGAAAAAUGACUGGUGCGUCUUGUUCUUCUUUAAGCCUCGUGUUCUCGUCUCUCCAUGCCAGUAAUUUGGUUUUGACUCCAAGGUGCUGAUAAAUCUUCUCGCUCUCAAUUUGAUUACCGAUUAGAAUUGUAAACUUUUUUUUUUCAUAUUUUCUUUUAUGUAAUCCAUUUGUUGGCAGGAAAGUGUUUCCUCUCCAAACCCUUAUUAAUUCGCCCUACUAUUCUGAUGGGCUUUGGCCUCACAAGUUGCUUUAUUUUCU